GGAUGUGAGGGUGACCUGGCUGUGACAUCUGUCACCCCAUUGAUCGCCAGGGUUGAUUCAGCUGAUUUGGCUGGCUAGGCGGGUGUCCCCUUCCUCCCUCACGGCUCCAUGUGCGACCCUCCCAAAGCUGUGUGCUCUGUCGAAGAGGACGACCUUCCCCGAUAGAGGAGAACUGUUCUUCAGUCAAGUGUAUAGGAGUAGCUGCGCUCCCCUGCUAGAACCUCCAAACAAGCUCUCAAAAAGCUGCUUUUGUUACAGCAUGGGGAUAGGACCCAUGGGCAGAAAGGGCUGCACUCCUGCUGUGUGAAGCUGGUGGU
rnacentral:snRNA from 1 species